AGAUAAGAUAUCAGUGGAAGUCAAAAAAGAAUUUAAUGUUAAGAGUUUCUUCUCUCUAGUUUUAUUUCAUUUCUUUCUCUCUCUCUCUCUCACCAUCACACAAAACACAGAAGAGUCCAUGGCUGCUUCUUCAUCCUCUGCUGCUUCCUUCUUUGGAGUUCAACAAGAUGAUCAAACUCACCUUCUUCCUCCUAAUUCCUCCGCAGCCGCUCCUCCUCUUCCUCCUCACCACCAGCCACCACAGUCUCAGCAACCCCUUGAGGCUCCACCGCAGAAAAAGAAGAGAAACCAACCAAGAACUCCAAAUUCCGAUGCAGAAGUGAUAGCUUUAUCUCCAAAGACACUAAUGGCUACAAACAGAUUCAUAUGUGAAGUAUGCAACAAAGGAUUUCAAAGAGAACAGAACCUACAACUUCACCGAAGAGGACACAAUCUUCCAUGGAAACUUAAGCAAAAAUCGACCAAAGAAGUGAAGAGGAAAGUGUAUCUUUGUCCGGAGCCCACGUGCGUCCACCAUGAUCCGUCACGUGCUCUCGGAGAUCUCACCGGAAUUAAGAAACAUUAUUACCGUAAACACGGUGAAAAGAAGUGGAAAUGCGAGAAAUGUUCUAAGCGUUACGCUGUUCAAUCGGAUUGGAAAGCUCACUCCAAGACUUGUGGUACCAAAGAAUAUCGUUGCGACUGUGGUACACUUUUCUCUCGGCGAGACAGUUUCAUUACACACAGAGCCUUUUGUGACGCGUUGGCUCAGGAGAGUGCGAGACACCCAACUUCUUUGACUUCUUUGCCAAGUCACCACUUUCCAUACGGACAAAACACCAACAACUCCAACAAUACUUCAAGCAUGAUCCUUGGUUUGUCUCACAUGGGGGCCUCACAGAAUCUUGAUCAUCAGUCCAGCGAUGUUCUCCGACUCGGAAGCAGCGGAGGAGGAGGUGCAGGAGCUUCCUCACGCUCUUCCUCCGAUCUCAUUGCUGCAAAUGCUUCAGGUUACUUCAUGCAAGAGCAAAACCCUAGCUUUCAUGAUCAACAAGACCAUCAACAACAAGGGUUUUUAGCUGCAAGCAACAACAUCAAGCCAUCACCAAUGAAUUUUCAACAAAGUCUGAUGCAGUUCUCACAUGAUAACCAUAACUCUCCUUCCUCCAAUCUCUUCAAUCUCAGCUUCCUCUCUGGACACAAUGGAGUUGCUUCUGCUACAAGCAACCCUAAUGCUGCAGCUGUUUCAUCUGGCAACCUUAUGAUUUCUAACCAUUUUGAUAGCGAAAAUGCUGUUGGAGGCGGAAGAGGAGGAGGAGAAAGAAGUACAGGUCUCUUCCCUAACAAUCUGAUGACCUCGGCGGACAGAAUCAGCACAGGAGCAGUGCCUUCACUCUUUAGCUCAUCAAUGCAAAACCCCAAUUCAACAACUCACAUGUCAGCCACUGCUCUUCUUCAGAAAGCUGCUCAAAUUGGUUCAAGCUCGAGCAACAACAGCAAUAGUAAUAAUGCUUCAUCGAUUCUAAGAAGCUUUGGGAGUGGAAUGUACGGAGAAAGCGAGACUAAUCUUAACGAUUUGAUGAACACUUUCUCUAACCCCGGCGCAACUGGAAACAACGUUAAUAGAGUAGAUUCUCCGUUUGGUUCAUACGGAGGAGUGAACAAAGGAUUAAACGCUGAUAAACAAAGCAUGACUAGAGACUUUCUUGGGGUUGGACAAAUCGUAAGAAGCAUGAGUGGAAGCGGAGGGUUUCAACAACAAAAACAACAACAACGGCAUGGGAAUAGUACAGAAAUAGUUGGCUCUUCGACGGAUUCCGCCAAUAUAAACAGUAUUAAUGUGAAUCCUGGUGGUGGUCCGGCAAGUCCACCACCGUUCCUAACCAAUACUGGAUGGAAUCCACCAUGCUAGUUUCUAGCCAAGGUUUUUAGUUCAUCAGAGUGCAUAUGCUAUAUAAAUCUUUCAGUCAAUGAGUUGGAGAGUACAAGCAGCCUUUGCUAAGUUUCUUUGUCUUUUUGUUUUUAUUUUCUUUUAUUUGCCUUUUUAUUCUUUAAUCUCUUUUCAUUUGUCAUCCUCACUAGCUGGCAAUGUCACGAGUGUUUGUCCUGUGAUCUCCCUUUUUUUUUUUUGAUCUCCCUUUCUAAAUAUCUCGAUACAUGUAUACAUGUCACAAUAGUUUAUGUAACAUGUUCCUACCAUCCCAAAAGGUCCCAUCAUAUUUAAAUUUAACGGUCCAAAAUAAACAGUUCUGUUUCGACAA